rnacentral:rRNA from 1 species
GAUGAACGCUGGCGGCGUGCUUAACACAUGCAAGUCGAACGGAAAGGCUCCUGCUUGCCGGGGUACUCGAGUGGCGCACGGGUGAGUAACACGUGUGUGAUCUGCCCCGCACUUCGGGAUAAGCCUGGGGAACUGGGUCUAAUACCGGAUAUGACAGUGGUUUGGAUGCCGUUGUGGAGAGAUUUGUCGGUGUGGGGUGAGCUCGCGGCCUAUCCGCUUGUUAGUGGGGUAAUGGCCUACCAAGGCGUCGGCGGGUAGCCGGCCUGAGAGGGUGUACGGCCACAUUGGGUCCUAGAGAAGGCCCAGACACCGACGGGAGGGAGCAGGGGGGAAUAUUGACGAAUGGGCGCAAGCCUGAUGCAGCGAGGCCGCGUGGCGGAUGACGGUCUUAGGGUUGUAAACUCAUUUCGCUAGGGACGAAGCGUUAUGUGACGGUACCUAGAGAAGAAGCACCGGCUAACUACGUG